UACGUAGGGGGCAAGCGUUGUCCGGAAUUAUUGGGCGUAAAGCGCGCGCAGGCGGUCGAUUAAGUCUGGUGUUUAAUCCUAGGGCUCAACCCUAGGUCGCACUGGAAACUGGUUGACUUGAGUACAGAAGAGGAAAGUGGAAUUCCACGUGUAGCGGUGAAAUGCGUAGAGAUGUGGAGGAACACCAGUGGCGAAGGCGACUUUCUGGGCUGUAACUGACGCUGAGGCGCGAAAGCGUGGGGAGCAAACAGG
rnacentral:rRNA from 1 species